rnacentral:rRNA from 1 species
GACGAACGCUGGCGGCGUGCCUAACACAUGCAAGUCGAACGAAGUGGCGAACGGGUGAGUAACGCGUAAUCAACCUGCCCUUCAGAGGGGGACAACAGUUGAAAACGACUGCUAAUACCGCAUACUGCAGGAGGGGAUUGCGUCUGAUUAGCUAGUUGGGGGGGUAACGGCCCACCAAGGCGAUGAUCAGUAGCCGGACUGGGAGGGUGAACGGCCAAAAUGGGACUGAGACACGGGCCAGACUCCUACGGGGGGCAGCAGUGGGGAAUCUUCCGCAAUGGACGGAAGUCCGACGGAGCAACGCCGCGGGAGUGAAGAAGGCUUUCGGGUUGUAAAGCUCUGUUAAUCGGGACGCGGUACCGAAAUAGAAAGCCACGGCUAACUACGUGCCAGCAGCCGCGGUAAUAC